CCUACGGGAGGCAGCAGUGAGGAAUAUUGGUCAAUGGACGAGAGUCUGAACCAGCCAAGUAGCGUGAAGGAUGACUGCCCUAUGGGUUGUAAACUUCUUUUAUAAAGGAAUAAAACGAGGCACGUGUGCCUUUUUGCAUGUACUUUAUGAAUAAGGAUCGGCUAACUCCGUGCCAGCAGCCGCGGUAAUACGGAGGAUCCGAGCGUUAUCCGGAUUUAUUGGGUUUAAAGGGAGCGUAGAUGGGUUGUUAAGUCAGUUGUGAAAGUUUGCGGCUCAACCGUAAAAUUGCAAUUGAUACUGGCAGUCGUGAGUACAGUUGAGGUAGGCGGAAUUCGUGGUGUAGCGGUGAAAUGCUUAGAUAUCACGAAGAACCCCGAUUGCGAAGGCAGCUUACUAAACUGUGACUGACAUUGAUGCUCGAAAGUGUGGGUAUCAAACAGGAUUAGAUACCCCGGUAGUU
rnacentral:rRNA from 1 species